UACGGAGGGAGCGAGCGUUAUUCGGAAUUACUGGGCAUAAAGGGCGCGUAGGUGGUUUUGUAAGUCAGAGGUGAAAUACCACGGCUCAACCGUGGGGGUGCCUUUGAUACUGCAAGACUUGAGUACAGGAUAGGUGAGUGGAAUUCCAGGUGUAGCGGUGAAAUGCGUAGAUAUCUGGAAGAACACCGGUGGCGAAGGCGGCUCACUGGACUGAUACUGACACUGAGGCGCGAAAGCGUGGGGAGCAAACAGGAUUAGAUACCCUGGUAGUCCACGCUGUAAACUAUGGGUACUAGGUGUUGGGAUGGUAGCAUCUCGGUGCCGAAGCUAAUGCAUUAAGUACCCCGCCUGGGGAGUACGACCGCAAGGUUGAA
rnacentral:rRNA from 1 species